rnacentral:rRNA from 1 species
UGCAAGUCGCGUGCGCAGUUCUUGUAGCAAUACGAGGAUGGGCGCACGGCGCACGGGUGCGUAACACGUGGGCAAUCUGCCCUCCGAUGGGGAAUAACCCCGCGAAAGCGGGGCUAAUACCGCAUAACAUUCCUUGGACUACGGUUUGAGGAUUCAAAGCAGUGAUGCGUCGGAGGAGGAGCCCGCGCCCGAUUAGCUAGUUGGUGAGGUAACGGCUCACCAAGGCAAUGAUCGGUAGCUGGUCUGAGAGGAUGAUCAGCCACACUGGAACUGAGACACGGUCCAGACUCCUACGGGAGGCAGCAGUGGGGAAUCUUGCGCAAUGGGCGAAAGCCUGACGCAGCGACGCCGCGUGGGGGAUGAAGCUUUUCGGAGUGUAAACCCCUUUCGACUGGGACGAAUGCCCGCAAGGGAGUGACGGUACCAGUAGAAGAAGCCCCGGCUAACUACGUGCCAGCAGCCGCGGUAAGACGUAGGGGGCCAGCGUUGUUCGGAAUUACUGGGUGUAAAGGGUUCGUAGGCGGUGUGGCAAGUCGGGAGUGAAAUCUUUGGGCUUAACUCAGAGGCUGCUUCCGAAACUGCUGUGCUUGAGUGUGGGAGAGGCGCGUGGAAUUGCAGGUGUAGCGGUGA